GUGAUAAUUACCAUUUCAGCGCCAUCGGUUAACUCCCUCUGCCCCAAAAAAAAAACAUAUUGAACGCCAUCAUCUUGGCCACCCCUCAUUUACCCAUCGAUUUUUGAACCGGCUGCCGGUUCGGUCGGUCGGUCGGUCGGUUGGCGGGAAAAUACGUGACAAAAUUUCACAAUCUCCCAACCCCAACCCCGAAUGCUCCGUAUUGCGCCGUUAACGCGGUACCGAAUCGAUUUCACCGCCCCACCACGCUGCUGCUGUUCCCACCCCAUCACCCCACAAGGAAAAUAGCGCCACCCGAAGAAAUUGCGCCUUAUUUUUCGCAUCGUGCGUACGCGCCACACUUUUGCCCUUUUACACACAAACACGCGCGCGCGCGCGUAUGUGUAGGUAAGCAGGCGGAAAACCCACGUUAACGUGUGUGUGUGUGUGUGUGUGUGUGUGUGUGUGUGUGUGUGUGAGUAGGUCUUGUGAUGGGAAAAGGGAAAUCAAACAACCCGGGGAAAAAAACAGGGCAACAUCAUCAUCCCGUGUGCGGGACCGUACGCUUUGCGGGAGAUGAAACACACACACACACGAUGGCGGCAAGUGAUAUGAUAUGGCUUAUCGAGAGAUUUAGGAAUUUUGAACUAUUUUUCCAUGAUUCCAAGCAAUGUUGCAAUGUUGCAAAAACGAGCUUCUAAUUACACGCGUAUCCCCGCCAACAUGCGGCGUUUGCUGUUUUCGGGGUUUGCGUAGAGAAAUAGAGAGAGAGAGAGAGCGCGCGGGUUUUGGCAACGCCCAUUAGCAACGGGCUUGUCUCACUAAUCACACCGCUUGUUGGAGUAGGCUUUGGAGCCGGAUGGUGCAUAAUGUUGCGGCGGUAGUAGCACUUACACACGUACGGAGGAAUACGGUGGUGGUGGUGGUGGUGACCAGAAGAUCCGGGCAGCAGCAGAAGAUCCGGUGCUGCCGACAGGUCGGUUUGCCGCUCACACACUGCGGUGGACCAAUUAUCGGGCACCAGCAGCGCGUGUGUGUGUGUGUGGGUAUCGAUUAGUACACGCCAGUCUAUUUAUAAACAAAUUGUCCUAGAUACCGACCUAGCGGAACCGCGUCAUAUCCGCCCGUUUUUCGCUACCAGGCGCCAAGGCCGGACACAGCCGAAGCCGGGUAUGCGCGCGGUGGUUACGUGCGGAAGGGACUGUGAAGUGGGCAGCGAUUUGUGCCACCACCUUGUGCAUGUUGUUCCCGGUUCCGUUCCACACACACACACCACGAGGCAGUUGGAAAAUGGAGCAACAUUUUGGAGACGUAAUAAAAGAGCGAGCUAGCAGCAGCAGCAGCAGGAGACCCGCGCGAGUCCCUUUGGAGGAUGAAGGCGCACGCUGGAGCGGUCAAAGGGAUGAAGGCCCGUAGUAAAAACCCCUCACACAUCACAUAUACGCCGGCGCGGCAGACACGCAGUGCCACUGAAAAGAGAGAAAAAGAGAGAGAGAGUGAGAGAGUUAA